rnacentral:rRNA from 1 species
AGUCGAGAGAAGAGUUUGAUCCUGGCUCAGAUUGAACGCUGGCGGCAUGCCUUACACAUGCAAGUCGAACGGUAACAGGUUAAGCUGACGAGUGGCGAACGGGUGAGUAAUGUAUCGGAACGUGCCUGGUUGUGGGGGAUAACUACUCGAAAGAGUGGCUAAUACCGCAUGAGACCUGAGGGUGAAAGCGGGGGACUCGCAAGAGCCUCGCGCAACUAGAGCGGCCGAUACCAGAUUAGCUUGUUGGUGGGGUAAAAGCCCACCAAGGCGACGAUCUGUAGCUGGUCUGAGAGGACGACCAGCCACACUGGGACUGAGACACGGCCCAGACUCCUACGGGAGGCAGCAGUGGGGAAUUUUGGACAAUGGACGCAAGUCUGAUCCAGCCAUGCCGCGUGCGGGAAGAAGGCCUUCGGGUUGUAAACCGCUUUUGUCAGGGAAGAAACGCUUCGCUCUAAUACAGUGAGGUAAUGACGGUACCUGAAGAAUAAGCACCGGCUAACUACGUGCCAGCCGCCGCGGUAAU